rnacentral:rRNA from 1 species
UGGGAUUUGCCUCAGUAGCGGCGAGUGAAGCGGCAAAAGCUCAAAUUUGAAAUCUGGCGUCUUUGGCGUCCGAGUUGUAAUUUGAAGAAGGUAUCUUUGGGCCCGGCUCUUGUCUAUGUUCCUUGGAACAGGACGUCACAGAGGGUGAGAAUCCCGUGCGAUGAGAUGACCCGGGUCUGUGUAAAGUUCCUUCGACGAGUCGAGUUGUUUGGGAAUGCAGCUCUAAGUGGGUGGUAAAUUCCAUCUAAAGCUAAAUAUUGGCGAGAGACCGAUAGCGAACAAGUACAGUGAUGGAAAGAUGAAAAGAACUUUGAAAAGAGAGUGAAAAAGUACGUGAAAUUGUUGAAAGGGAAGGGCUUGAGAUCAGACUUGGUAUUUUGCAUGCUGCUCUCUCGGGGGCGGCCGCUGCGGUUUACCGGGCCAGCAUCGGUUUGGAGCGGCAGGAUAAUGGCGGAGGAAUGUGGCACGGCUUCUGCUGUGUGUUAUAGCCUCUGACGAUACUGCCAGCCUAGACCGAGGACUGCGGUUUUUAACCUAGGAUGUUGGCAUAAUGAUCUUAAGUCGCCCGUCUUGACAACAGCGAGACACACUAUU